UACGGAAGGCAGCAGUGGGGAAUAUUGCACAAUGGGCGCAAGCCUGAUGCAGCCAUGCCGCGUGUAUGAAAAAGGCCUUCGGGUUGUAAAGUACUUUCAGUCGUGAGGAAGGUGUUAAGGUUAAUAACCUUAGCAAUUGACGUUAGCGACAGAAGAAGCACCGGCUAACUCCGUGCCAGCAGCCGCGGUAAUACGGAGGGUGCGAGCGUUAAUCGGAAUUACUGGGCGUAAAGGGCACGCAGGCGGUUAAUUAAGUUGGAUGUGAAAUCCCCGGGCUUAACCUGGGAAUGGCAUUCAAGACUGGUUAGCUAGAGUCUUGUAGAGGGGGUAGAAUUCCGAUGUGUAGCGGUGAAAUGCGUAGAGAUGUGGAGGAAUACCGGUGGGCGAAGGCGGCCCCUGGGACAAAGACUGACGCUCAUGUGCGAAAGCGUGGGGAGCAAACAGGGAUUAGAUACC
rnacentral:rRNA from 1 species